UCCCCCUCUUGCUCACUCAUUCAUGCUAACAGCCUUGGUCCUAUUUAUAGACAUAGGAACCUAGAGAUAUACAAGAAAAUGUAUCUAAUAUUCAGUUAAAACUACUACCAGAAAUUUUUUUAGAAUCUAAGAGGCUCCAACUGAUUUUCUAACUCAUUAAACUGAUUUCUAACUAAAGAGUUUAACCAACCGAAUCAAGAGUCAAACAAUUUCUUUAC
rnacentral:lncRNA from 1 species